rnacentral:lncRNA from 1 species
AUGUACUGUGGUGCCACAGACCACCAGUUCAGGGAUCCAGACAGGCUCGGCAGUGUCUCUGGAGAAGCUAACCUACCUAAGAAACUGCAGCAGCUGCCUUUAAAUCCCCAUGGAGGUACAGAAAAAAAAGAUGGCUCAAAGCCAAUGAGUAGAUGUUUUCAGAAUGUGAAGAAAUUAGAAGAGACAAGAUGGAUGUUCUGGAUUUCAUGGUAGUCCCAGAUGCUGGUGAGCUGGGACUGGGCAAGCAGAUUGUGGGAAGGGACUCUGUAGUGAAAUGGUGCAGAUUUGCUGAUGAAGAACCACUUGGGUGAGAACAGGAAGGCCAUGUUCAGACAGCCAAGGGGAAUGAGAGGAGAAGCAAAUGAAGAGGCUCAGCUGCCCAGAGAGCAGUGGUGGAACAUGAGGGCUGAAGGGGAGGAACAGCAUGAAGUCUAGGGAAGGAGAAAGUGGGAAUGUUUCUAAGGGAACACUGAUGUGAGAAACCCAGGAAAGCAUAACAAAGACUGAGUCACAAAAUACUCUAAUGAAGAAAUGCAUGGAGCAGAAAGGAUUGAUCUUAAGGAGAAACAGGAAGAACUAUGCCUGGGAUGGAAUUAAGAAUUGACAUCUCACCGUUCACAUGCUCUCAGCAAAUAUGUGUAAAACUCCUCAGCAAAGACUCUCAUUGCUUCAUCAAGAAUGAUUAUGUGCCAUGACUGGGAGAUACCUCACCAGCUUCAAGCUGCAGAGUGCUGUGAAGUAGCUGUAAUUGUUGCCAACAUGCAGGCAAAUCAUGAAGAUACCAGGCAGAUAUCACACUUUGGGAUAUUCUGCUCCUGUUUCUGAUUCAAAAACAAACAAGCCAUCAAAAUAUGGUAAAAGUCAGAAUAAUAGCUGCAAGCUACUUUUAAAGCAUCAUGAAGCUCACUAAACAUUGGCAGUGCAGUUAUUGCACUUCUUUCUGCAGUCUUAUCUUGCACUUCUCUCUGCAAUCUUUUUUCAACCCACUUGUAUGGUUUAUGGUGAAAAUAAAUUUACAUAAAUGUCAUGCA